UCUCUCUCUUCUCCUUCUGGCACCCCUAUAAUAUGGAUGUUGGUGCAUUUAAUGUUGUCACAGAGUUCUCUGAGACUCUCUUCAUUUCUUUUCAGUCUUUUUUCUCUUUUCUGUUCUGCAUCAGUGAUUUCCAUUAGUCUGUCCUCCACCUCGCUUAUUCGUUCUUCUGCCUCCUGUAUUCUGCUGUUGGUUGUUUCUAAUGAAUUUUUUAUUUCAGUUAUUGUAUUUUGCAUCCCUGCUUGCUUAAGUUUUAAAUCUUUUAUUUCUUUGCUCAGUGUUUCCUGUAAAUUAUCCAUCUUUGCCUCCAGUUUAUUUCCAAUGUUUUGCAUCAUCUUCACUAUCAUCAGGUUAAAGUCUUUUUCCUAGAGGCUGAUAAUCUCCAGAUCACUUAGCUAUUUUUCUGGGGGUUUUUUCCUUUCAUUGCAUUAAGGAUAUUGUGCCACUCCCUCUGGCCUGCAGAAUUUCUGCUGAAAAAUCUGCCAAUAACCUUAUCAGGGGUCCCUUGUAUGUUAUUUGUUUCUUUUCCCUAGCAACUUUCAAUAUUUUCUCUUUGUCUUUAAUUUUAGUCAGUUUGAUUAAUACGUAUCUUGGGGUGUUUCUCCUUGGGUUUAUUGUAUGUGGUACUCUUUGUCCUUCCUGGAUUUGAGUGAGUGGCUCCUUUCCCAUGUUAGGGAAGCAUUUGGCUAUUAUCUCUUGGAAUAUGUUUUCUGUCCCUUUUUCUCUCUCUUCUCCUUCUGGCACCCCUAUAAUAUGGAUGUUGGUGCAUUUAAUGUUGUCACAGAGUUCUCUGAGACUCUCUUCAUUUCUUUUCAGUCUUUUUUCUCUUUUCUGUUCUGCAUCAGUGAUUUCCAUUAGUCUGUCCUCCACCUCGCUUAUUUGUGCUUCUGCCUCCUGUAUUCUGCUGUUGGUUGUUUCUAAUGAAUUUUUUAUUUCAGUUAUUAUAUUUUGCAUCCCUGCUUGCUUAAGUUUUAAAUCUUGUAUUUCUUUGCUCAGUGUUUCCUGUAAAUUAUCCAUCUUUGCCUCCAGUUUAUUUCCAAUGUUUUGCAUCAUCUUCA
rnacentral:lncRNA from 1 species